rnacentral:tRNA from 1 species
AGAAGAAUAAGCUAAGUUGAAGCUAUUGGAUUCAUAUUUCAAUUAUAAGUAAUUCUUUUCUUCUG